AUUCGGCUGACGAGUCCCAAAUAGGACUAAGUGACGCGCGUCCUAAAU
rfam:Schistosoma curassoni strain Dakar, Senegal genome assembly, scaffold: SCTD_scaffold0000044